AAAAAGAAAGAAGAAAUGAGGACGGCAUAUAUAAAGUACAGAAAAGAAUAGAUUUGAGAAGAAUGGGUGCUGCAUUUCUUGAUGAUUGUCAUAUGUUUUUACAAUAUUUAUGUACUAG
rnacentral:ribozyme from 12 species